UUCUACAAUGUUUGUGAAAAAUAAUCACACCUGUAGAAAAAAAUUGCCGAAAUGCUAAAAUUUUUAUUUUUCAAGUUGGAACAUUCGUUUAUAGCUCUAGCAACUCUAUGAUUUGCCUUGUUAUGACUAGUGUAGGCCAUAUUUCUGCAAGUGAUAGCAUUUCAGAGAAUCAUUAAGUUGUAUAGGCGUUCUACACCAGUGUCAAAGUUGAAGUCUCAUUUCUGUACUCAAUAAAAAAAAUUUUUUCAGGCAUAUCAGGCAAAACGCGAUUGGAGAAAGAAAAAGAGUAACGUUUAGGAAGAACAAAAAAAGACUUGGAUACCGAAGAAGAGACAAAAAAUGACCAAAGCUGGACCGGAAGGAGCGCAUCGAAAAUAUAGAGAAAGAUACUAAAAAAAACUAUUAAGAAGCUGGGAAAAUAAAAUCAAUUAAAGACUACACACCAAGAGCACAAAAAACAAUAAGAAAGAGUUGGCCAGAGCGUGUAUAAGGAUUGAAAAGAAGAUAAUUCUCCUUCAAGUCCAGUUUCACAAAUAUCUACAGUAUUUUCUAGACUUUCCUUAGAUCAAAGUCUUGCAGACAAAAAUAGAUGAACACUGAAAUUAGAAAAUUUGCUUCUUAAGCUAAGAAAAUUAAGCUGGCAGAGUUUGAAAAACAGCUCGGAUUUGCUCCCAUUACAAAAUUAGGAUUAUUUACUUUACUCCCAAAAAAAACUGAAGACUGAGCUGAUUUAACGAAACCAACCCAUUCACAGCUGGUAUCUGCAGAACCAAUAAUAAUAUAGGAAUAUACAGGAACCCAAUAGCGACAACGUCAAGUCCAGGGUUGAAAUUUUUUACAGAUCAACCUUUGAAUGUGAGGGUACUUCUGAUAUUUUUCAAACUGGAAAA